CGCUCUCUGUAUAAUGAAUUAAAUAGAGAGUCGGACCUGCCCAGUGACGUAGUGUUAAACGGCCGCGGUACUCUGACCGUGCAAAGGUAGCAUAAUCACUUGCCUUUUAAUUGGAGGCUUGUAUGAAUGGUUUGACGAGAGCUAAGCUGUCUCCUUUUUAAUAUUUAGAAAUUAAUUUAUAAGUGAAGAGGCUUAUAUAUAUUUGAGGGACAAGAAGACCCUAUUGAGUUUAAGUAAAACUAAAAGUGAAUUAUUAUGUUUUUGAGUAUUAUGUAGUAAUAGUUGUAUAUAUAGAGGCAAGGCUUUUUUUUAAUCUUUAGUUGGGGCGACUGAGGAGCAUGAGAAGCUUCCUUUAGAAAUGGAUUAUGGCUAGCGAGUUAAUUUGAUCCAAUUUUUAUUGAUCAAAGGAAAAAAUUACCAUAGGGAUAACAGCGUAAUCUUUUCGGAGAGUUCUUAUCGAAGAAAGGGUUUGCGACCUCGAUGUUGGACUAAGAUAUCCCAGAGGUGUAGAAGUUUCUGAGGGUUGGUCUGUUCGACC
rnacentral:rRNA from 1 species